AAGUCGUAACAAGGUAACCGUAGGUGAACCUGCGGUUGGAUCAUUACUGAUACUUGUCAAGGCUCGAGUCCUUCGGGAUUCGCCAAGACAAUCAACCCCUUGUGCACCAUAUUGUAUUUUGGGCAUGUCCUUGGAUGUGCCCAAUUGUAAGAACCAUAUCCUAUUUGUCUGAUAUCUAUGUAAAAUAGAAACAACUUUUGACAACGGAUCUCUUGGCUCUC
rnacentral:misc_RNA from 1 species